rnacentral:rRNA from 1 species
CGUAUAUUAAAGUUGUUGCAGUUAAAAGGCUCGUAGUUGGAUUUGUGGCGUAUGGUGUGUUCCGGGCACUUGUUGUCUGAGUAACCUGCUGUUGCCAUCCUUGGGUGGAACCUGUGUGGCAUUAGGUUGUCGUGCAGGGGAUGCCCAUCAUUUACUGUGAAAAAAUUAGAGUGUUCAAAGCAGGCUUAUGCCGUUGAAUAUAUUAGCAUGGAAUAAUGAGAUAGGACUUUUUUACUAUUUUGUUGGUUUGCGUAAAGAGGUAAUGAUUAAUAGGGACAGUUGGGGG